AGGGAGGCGACCACCAGGAAGAGUGAGGG
rnacentral:piRNA from 1 species